rnacentral:rRNA from 1 species
CGGAAGGGCACCACCAGGAUUGGAGCCUGCGGCUUAAUUUGACUCAACACGGGGAAACUCACCAGGUCCAGACAUGACUAGGAUCGACAGAUUGAUAGCUCUUUCAUGAUCUCAUGGGUGGUGGUGCAUGGCCGUUCUUAGUUGGUGGAGUGAUUUGUCUGGUUAAUUCCGAUAACGAACGAGACCUUAACCUGCUAAAUAGCCAGGCCGGCUUUGGCUGGUCGCGGGCUUCUUAGAGGGACUGUCGGCGUCUAGCCGACGGAAGUUUGAGGCAAUAACAGGUCUGUGAUGCCCUUAGAUGUUCUGGGCCGCACGCGCGCUACACUGACAGAGCCAGCGAGUUCAUAUCCUUGGCCGGAAGGUCCGGGUAAUCUUGUGAAACUCUGUCGUGCUGGGGAUAGAGCAUUGC